AUUGAACGCUGGCGGCAUGCCUUACACAUGCAAGUCGAACGGCAGCACGGGUGCUUGCACCUGGUGGCGAGUGGCGAACGGGUGAGUAAUACAUCGGAACAUGUCCUGUAGUGGGGGAUAGCCCGGCGAAAGCCGGAUUAAUACCGCAUACGAUCUACGGAUGAAAGCGGGGGAUCUUCGGACCUCGCGCUAUAGGGUUGGCCGAUGGCUGAUUAGCUAGUUGGUGGGGUAAAGGCCUACCAAGGCGACGAUCAGUAGCUGGUCUGAGAGGACGACCAGCCACACUGGGACUGAGACACGGCCCAGACUCCUACGGGAGGCAGCAGUGGGGAAUGUUGGACAAUGGGCGAAAGCCUGAUCCAGCAAUGCCGCGUGUGUGAAGAAGGCCUUCGGGUUGUAAAGCACUUUUGUCCGGAAAGAAAUCCUUGGCUCUAAUACAGUCGGGGGAUGACGGUACCGGAAGAAUAAGCACCGGCUAACUACGUG
rnacentral:rRNA from 1 species